UACGGAGGGUGCGAGCGUUGCUCGGAAUUAUUAGGCGUAAAGCGUACGCAGGCGGCUCGGCAAGUCGAGUGUGAAAUCCCGGGGCUCAACUCCGGAACUGCAUUCGAUACUGCCGGGCUUGAGUGCGGGAGAGGGAAGCGGAAUUCCUGGUGUAGAGGUGAAAUUCGUAGAUAUCAGGAGGAACACCGGUGGCGAAAGCGGCUUCCUGGCCCGACACUGACGCUCAUGUACGAAAGCGUGGGGAGCAAACAGG
rnacentral:rRNA from 1 species